rnacentral:lncRNA from 1 species
UCAAAUGCAUCAGACAACUAGGCUGGCCUGGGAGGUGGGGAGGGGCAGGGCACAGGGCGUCUGGCAGUGGUGAUGGGGGAGACCACAUAGGCUGAGUGGCCUGCUUGGAGGCUUGGGAUGUGUCCCACACCAGGGUAUCCAUGUGCACUUGCACACUGCAUGUGUGUGUUCUGUGAACACAUGGAGGGUACAUGACAUCUGGGGAGCGUGUCCCUCUGCAGAUGGGGCUGCACGCUCGGGUGCAUGGCACC